UCGAGUAGACUUGAUGACAAUUUCAAAUCUGUUUUGAGAAUUCUUAUCGCUUCACUAUAUCAAUCGGUACGUUGGACGAAAAACACGUCUUAAUUCUUAAGUUGCGCGUGUGUUAGACAAAGACAAGAAAUCACCGCCACCGAUCACCUUAAUUUUAGUAUCAUGAACUAAACAUUUUUUGGAAUUUGGUUAAUUUAUUAUCCCUUUUAUUUCCAAGAAAUGUUUAGUGUAGUACGAUACACUAUCGAUCCAAGUACCCAAUUAAUACGAAAUGACAAGUUAUUUAGUGGAAGUGAUAAUUUCAGAAAUAAUAAUAAUCGUUCCCCGUAGGUAUUCGCAAUGAUUUCAUGAAUAAUACUUUUAUCAUGAGCGAAAUAAGUUUGUUCACAUCCGAUAAUUUCAAAUUUCCUCGAAAAAGCAGCGAAUAUUAUGAGUGAAGCAAAAGUUACGUGGAUGUUGGAUCAAACAUCAUGCAUUCGUACAUAGAGCGAAACCUCGCAAAGUAUUAUAAUAUUAUUCUUUAUCAAUUCGAUUAAGAAAUAUUUCUAUUAUUUAUCAAUUAUCUUAUCAAUAAAAUAUUAUCAACACACAAAAAGAUAGUAGUGAUGCUGAGAAACAAUAUCAAAAAACACAUUUUAUUGAGAUCUUACAAUUUAUAUAUUAAGUUAAAUCAUCGAUGACGAGUGGGCAGGUAAUGAAUGAUAUUGUGUUUCUUUGUUUUAUAAGCCUCCAUAGAUCGGGCUUCAAUGAACAUUUUAAGCAGUGUUUGCUAAUCAAAUAGUUGUUAAAACAGUAAAAAUGUAUAACUUUAAUAUUAUUUUAAUUUUAAACAAAUAUGAUUCUAUACUGUGUUGCCAAAUAUAUAUAUUACGGUGCCGGUAUAGAAAGCGACACAAAAUUAGCCAAAUUGAUACCAUAUAAAAAUAUGAUUACCUAUAUCAAGUACAAAACAUUUAAUUUGGAUUCAAAAUACAAUA